GACCUGGUGGUGAAAUGAAUCACACCUACUUUGUUUAGCACAGCUAUGAAAAUAGUGUUUGUGGGAAUCCCUGGUUCAAAUCCAGGCUAGGUCA